AUUGAACGCUGGCGGCAUGCCUUACACAUGCAAGUCGAACGGUAACGCGGGGCAACCUGGCGACGAGUGGCGAACGGGUGAGUAAUGUAUCGGAACGUGCCCAGUUGUGGGGGAUAACUGCUCGAAAGAGCAGCUAAUACCGCAUACGACCUGAGGGUGAAAGCGGGGGAUCGCAAGACCUCGCGCAAUUGGAGCGGCCGAUAUCGGAUUAGGUAGUUGGUGGGGUAAAGGCCCACCAAGCCAACGAUCUGUAGCUGGUCUGAGAGGACGACCAGCCACACUGGGACUGAGACACGGCCCAGACUCCCACGGGAGGCAGCAGUGGGGAAUUUUGGACAAUGGACGCAAGUCUGAUCCAGCCAUGCCGCGUGCGGGAAGAAGGCCUUCGGGUUGUAAACCGCUUUUGUCAGGGAAGAAAAGGUUCUCUCUAAUACAGGGGGCUAACGACGGUACCUGAAGAAUAAGCACCGGCUAACUACGUGCCAGCCGCCGCAGUAAGAC
rnacentral:rRNA from 1 species